CUCUAGUUUGCAACAGGUCCCCGUCAAAGCUCGAAGUUUCCCUUGGUUUUCGUGGAACACAACGAAAGUAAAGCCAGCAGUGAGCUACCGUAAGGAACUCAUCCUAUUCGGCCAAUCGAAAGCUGCAGGCAGACGAUGAAAAGUAGGAAGAAAAAGGAAAAAAGCAAGAUGGAACGAGUAAGAAGAAGCAAGACUGACCAGAUGAGAAAUGGAACUGGGAAUGAAAGAGUUAAAAGAAAAGAACAAUCGACGGAAGAAAGUAAUCGCUCGUUCAAGCUUUCUCUCUUUAGCGCCUUUGGCGGAGAACUUGGACAAACGUAAUAUUUUCUCAAUGAUAGCUCAUGAGAUACUUCUUCCCUAUGGUUAUUACACGUAAUAGCUCUGAGCAC
rnacentral:misc_RNA from 1 species